CGCCCCAGGCACUGGGCCAAGAGAAACCUUGGUGGUGGUAGUGUUCUUAAAUCAGUCAGGGGCAGAGCAGAUGGCCGUCCUUUGUUCAUAGCUUGAUACCUGGCUUCAGGGCCAAAGCUCUCUUAUGCCUAGGACACAUAA